UCAAGCUACAAAGAGCCAAUGGUGGAUGCCUUGGCACUAGAUGCCGACGAAGGACGUGGGUGACUGCGAUAAGCCACGAGGAGUUGUCUACCUAGCGUUAUAACUCGUGGAUCUCCGAAUAGGAAAACCUAAUUACGUUUAACCGUAGUUAUUCCACACUGAAAACCGAAAGGCCAUAGGUGUGGUAAAGGGAACUGGGCGAAUUGAAACAUCUCAGUACCCCAAGGAAAAGAAAGCAAACGCGAUUCCCUUAGUAGCGGCGAGCGAAGAGGGAUGAGCCUAAACCUAUAGUGUGAUAUAGCCUGGCGGCGAUGCAUUAUGGGGGUUGUGGGACUCAAUAGAACUAGCGCCUGAUAGUUCACGAAGUUACAAAAGUUAUAUAUAACAGAAGAAGUCUGGAAAGCUUCACCGCAGAGGGUAAUAGUCCCGUAUGUGAAAUGUAUAACCCUUCGAUUGAUGUUCCCGAGUAUCACGGGAUCCGAGAAAGCCCGUGUGAAUCUGUGAGGACCACCUCAUAAGGCUAAAUACAAUCUAGUGACCGAUAGUGUACAAGUACCGUGAGGGAAGGGUGAAAAGAACCCCGAGAGGGGAGUGAAAUAGAACCUGAAACCAUUGGUUUACAAUCCGUUAAAGAGUCGGAUAAGAAUUUAUUCUUAUCUCUCAAUAGCGUGCCUUUUGAAGAAUGAGCCAGCGAGUUACCGUUUGUGGCAAGGUUAACCCGAGAGGGGAAGCCGAAGCGAAAGCGAGUCUGAAUAGGGCGUACUAGUCGCAGGCGGUAGACCCGAAGCCGGGUGAUCUAUCCAUGAGCAGGGUGAAGCGGAGGUAAGACUUCGUGGAGGCCCGAACCCACCCUAGUUGAAAAUAGGGGGGAUGACUUGUGGAUAGGGGUGAAAGGCCAAUCAAACCCGGUGAUAGCUGGUUCUCCCCGAAAUGCAUUUAGGUGCAGCGUCGUGAGUUCAGUAUCGGAGGUAGAGCUACUGGAUGGUUUAGGGGGCCUACAAGCUUACCAACAUCAGCCAAACUCCGAAUGCCGAUACUCCAGAUCACGGCAGUGAGACUAUGGGGGCUAAGCUUCAUAGUCGAGAGGGAAACAGCCCAGAGCGCCAACUAAGGUCCCAAAUUUAUACUCAGUGGUAAACGAUGUGGGAAUGCCUAGACAGCCAGGAGGUUGGCUUAGAAGCAGCCAUCCUUGAAAGAGUGCGUAAUAGCUCACUGGUCGAGUGUUCCUGCGCGGACAAUGUAACGGGGCUCAAGUAUAAAACCGAAGUUGCGUCAUUAGGAUAAUUUAUUAUUACUGAUGGGUAGGGGAGCGUCGAGUUCGACUGUGAAGCCAGAUGAUAACGUCUGGUGGAGUGGACUCGAGUGAGAAUGCUGGCAUGAGUAGCGAACGAAGGGGGAGGAACCCUUCCUCCGAAUAUCCAAGGGUUCCUGGGCAAGGCUCAUCCGCCCAGGGUUAGUCGGGAGCUAAGGCGAGGCCGAAAGGCGUAGUCGAUGCACAACUGGUUGAUAUUCCAGUACCACCAUAUUCGCGCCCAGCCUAAGCUAAUUUGCUAAGUGGCUGUUAAUUUAUUAACGAAACGACCCAAUUAGUGCAUGGUAAUUGUAGGGGGACGCAGGAAGGUAGAUCUGACAGGUGAUGGUUAUCCUGGAAGUAAGUAAGUAGGGAGUGUGAUAGGAAAAUCCGUUGCACAUUAAUCCUGAGAUACGACACGUAGCCGAUUUAGGCGAUUUGAUUGAUCCUAUGCUGCCUAGAAAAGCCUAGCAAUGAGUUAAUAUGGUGCCCGUACCCCAAACCGACACAGGUAGAUAAGUAGAGAAUACUAAGGAGAGCGAGAUAACUCCGGUUAAGGAACUCGGCAAAAUGCCCCCGUAACUUCGGGAUAAGGGGGGCCUCAGUAAAGUGAUUGUCUUCGCGACAUGAGCUUGAGGAGGCCGCAGUGACUAGAGCCAAGCGACUGUUUACCAAAAACACAGGUGCAUGCGAAGCCGUAAGGCGAUGUAUAUGCACUGACGCCUGCCCAAUGCUGGAAGGUCACGGAGAGAGGUUAGCGCUUGUCGCGAAGCUUCGAACUUAAGCCCCAGUGAAUGGCGGCCGUAACUAUAACGGUCCUAAGGUAGCGAAAUUCCUUGUCGGGUAAGUUCCGACCUGCACGAAUGGCGUAACGACUUGGCUACUGUCUCAACCGGAGACUCGGCGAAAUUGCAAUACGAGUAAAGAUGCUCGUUUCCCGCACCAGGACGGUAAGACCCCGUGCACCUUUACUGCAACUUGAUGUUGGGUUUGGGUAUGAACUGUGUAGGAUAGCUGGGAGACUGCGAAGCAGAGGCGUCAGCUUUUGUGGAGUCAACCUUGAAAUACCAGCCUGUUCAUAUCGGAACCUCUCACCACAGGCCCUAGAUCGGGUCUUGGGACAGCGUCAGGUGGGUAGUUUGACUGGGGCGGUCGCCUCCUAAAGAGUAUCGGAGGCGUCCAAAGUUAUACUCAGCCUGGUUGGCAAUCAGGCGUCGAGCGCAAAAGUAUAAGUAUGAUUGACUGCAAGACCUACAAGUCAAGCAGGGACGAAAGUCGGGUUUAGUGACCCAGCGGCAGCUUGUGGAAGCGCCGUUGAUUAACGGAUAAAAGGUACGCCGGGGAUAACAGGCUCAUUUUGCCCAAUAGUUCACAUAGACGGCAAAGUUUGGCACCUCGAUGUCGGCUCGUCGCAUCCUGGGGGUGUAGCCACUCCCAAGGGUUGGGCUGUUCGCCCAUUAAAGCGGUACGCGAGCUGGGUUCAGAACGUCGCGAGACAGUUCGGUCCCUAUCCGGUGUGGGCGUAAGAGAUUUGAGGAAAUCUGUUCCUAGUACGAGAGGACCGGAAUGGACGUGGCUCUCGUGUGACAGUUGUCCUGCCAAGGGCAUGGCUGUUUAGCGACCCACGGAAAAGAUAAACGCUGAAAGCAUCUAAGCGUGAAACUUGUUCCAAGAUGAGAUCUCUCAUGUGGUUAACACAGUAAGACCCCUUAUAGACCAUGAGGUUGAUAGGCCAGAAGUGUACGGACAGUAAUGUCUUUAGCUGACUGGUACUAAUCGGUCGAGGGCUUGAGUAU
rnacentral:rRNA from 1 species